GAAAACCCAGCUGUGAAGAGCUGAUUAGGGAGAGGAACAAAGUGUUCCUAGCCUGCAGUAAGAUGCUCAGUCAGAAACUGCCUGAGGAGUGUGGCUGGCUAGAGUCCUUUGCAAGAGGAUGGGCCUGGGCUUCAUUGGUGAGGGGCUCGGAGCCCAGGAAACAUUCUGAUGGCUACUGGGAUGAACUUUGGCACUGUAAUACUUGCUGGCCAAUGGCUUAUUACCUGCUGAGAGGAACCUCUAAUUUGCACUGAUACAGACUAAUACGGCUGCUACUCUGAAAUCUGACAGCUUGGUAGAAACUCCCUUGCAGCAGCUGCAACAACAAACCCCAACAAAAUUUCCUGGGGGGAGUUUUUAAAGUCUAUAAGAGAAUCCUUUAACAUAUUUAGAUCGUAAACAAGUUUGAAAAAAUAAAUUCUCUGGGAUUGUUCAUCUCUUUAAGUUAGCCAUGUCCCUAUCCAAAGGAGAGGGGUGAAACCAAGCCCUGCCUUACCAAACGUAGCCUGUACAGUACCAUUCUACAAGGAUGCCUGAAGAUUUCCCAAAGUCCCAUCAAAUCCAACUCUUUGCCUCCUGUAAAUUCCCCCUCCCCUUAAAAGGACACUGCUGAAGGUGCUUACUGGAGACUAAUGUAAUUUUUCCCUUUGGUUUUAAAUUAUGAAGCAGGAAAAUAAACAGGUACAGCUGAAUGGAAUUGCGGGGUGGAGGGGAAAGCUUAUUCCUCUGCUGUGGAAAUUAUGGGCAAAGUCCUAUAUGUGUAUCAGAGUGUAUAGUGUGGAUGGUCUUUGUCCCAGUCUACCUUUUGUGUGCACACGUGUAUUGGAACUACUCAAAAUCCUCUUGGCUAAUAUUUGGCCAUGUCCCAAGCCAUAAAUCAUUCU